AGGGGUGACUAGUGACAGAGUGAGGGAAUGACUGGUGACAGUGAGGGGAUGACGAGUGAGGGAGUGACUAGUGACCGAGGGAGGGAGGGGGUGACUGUCACUAGUCACCCCAUCCCUCUCUCUGUCACUAGUCACCCCCUCCCUAACUCUGUCACUGUGUCACCCGCUUCCUCACUCUGUCACUAGUCACCCCCUCCCUCCCUCUCACUAGUCACCCCCUCCCUCCCUCUGUUACUGUGUCACCCCCU